CCGUGCGGACGCUCUGGCUCGCUGCGCCCGCCGCCAUAUUGGCUGCUUUGCUGCACCGCGGUGAUAUGAGGGUGAAGCGCGGCCGUUGCGGCAUUUGACUCCGCGCCGAAAGUUCAGCUCCUGCCCCGGUCAUCCGACUCCAGCCUGCGAGCCCACACUUCCUUGCCUGCCUCCUUUCCCCGUUUAGGAGUCACCCGAACGGAGCGAGCGAAACGCCGAGCCAUGGAGGCCGUCAAAGCCUUUAAUAACGAGCUGUACUCUUUAAAUGAGUAUAAACCACCUAUCUCCAGGGCUAAAAUGAACCAGGUGACCAAGGCUGCCAUCAAGUCAAUUAAGUUCUACAAACAUGUGGUACAGAGUGUGGAAAAGUUUAUUCAAAGGUGUAAACCAGAAUACAAAGUCCCAGGGCUGUAUGUUAUCGACUCAAUUGUGCGCCAGUCCCGUCAUCAGUUUGGUCCAGAAAAGGAUGUGUUUGCUCCCAGAUUUUGCAAGAACAUCAAUACAACUUUCCAGAACUUGUACAAAUGUCCUGCUGAUGACAAGAGCAAAGUGGUGCGGGUACUGAACCUGUGGCAGAAGAAUGGUGUAUUCAAAAGUGAGGUCAUACAGCCACUUCUGGAUUUGGCAACAGGGAUUCCACCGCCCUCUGUUACCCCUGCUAUUGCCAGUACUGCAGCAACUGUGAGCAGCAACACACCAGGAACGCCAGCCACACCUGCCACUCCAGCUAACGUGGUGCAGAAUUUACCUGAUGCAUGGGCCUCCAUCUCUCAGCUUUCUAACUCUGAUACAAUUGCUGCUGUUGCGCAACUUCUUCAGAGUCCCCAAGGCCAACAGCUCCAGCAGUUGGUACAGAAUCUUCAGAUGCAGCAACAGAAACCUCAGCCAUCUCUACUUCAGGCUCUUGAUGCUGGGCUUGUUGUCCAACUCCAGGCGCUCACAGCGCAGCUGACAGCAGCGGCAACAGCAAAUACUCUCAACCCAUUGGAACCUCGACUUAACUUUAACAAGAAACUCCUAGAUAGAUUUGAAUAUGAUGAAGAGCAUGAUCCUUCAGAUGAAGCUAAGAAAGAAACAUCUACAUCCCAGCUACCUCUUGUAACUGAGACCAUGAACACAUCACUUUUUCAGCAGCUGGCUGAGCAGUUCCAGCAGCAAAACUUUGAGCAGCUUCAGCAGCAGCUGAUGGAGCAACAACAGACACAGCAGAAUGCUGCAUUGGAUAGUCAAGAGGUAACUUUUGGAUCCGAACAAUCAGCCACUCCAUCUCAGGGGAGCACUCACCAUCAGCAACAAGAGCAGGAAGUAAGAGUAGAGGAUCCACUUGAGCAACAGCAGCAGGAUAUGGAUAUUGAUGCACCUGAUGGUCAAGACCUCAUUGAAGAAGAAAUAUUUCAGCAUGAAGAAAAGAAACCUUUAGUGCGCUCGAGAUCGAGAACACGGUCAAGAUCCCGUUCAAGGUCACCACGAAAGAAAAGGUCCAGAUCACGGUCAGGGUCUCGUAAACGUAAGCAUCGGAAACGUUCACGGUCAAGAUCAAAAGAGAGAAAAAGAAAAUCAUCGCGUUCGUAUUCUAGUGAAAGAAGAGCAAGAGAACGUGAAAAAGAACGCCAGAAAAAGGGUCUACCUCCUGUUCGAUCAAAGACCCUUAGUGUAUGCAGUACUACACUAUGGGUUGGUCAGGUGGACAAAAAGGCAACACAACAAGAUAUAACAAAUCUCUUUGAGGAAUUUGGUCAGAUUGAAUCCAUAAAUAUGAUACCUCCACGAGGGUGUGCAUAUGUCUGCAUGGUUCAUCGACAAGAUGCUUUUCGUGCUCUUCAAAAAUUAAGCACUGGAUCCUUUAAAAUGGGGUCCAAAAUUAUUAAGAUUGCUUGGGCUUUAAACAAAGGUGUGAAACCUGAAUAUAAGCAAUUCUGGGAUGUUGACCUUGGAGUCACAUAUAUACCCUGGGAAAAAUUAAAAUUAGAUGAUUUAGAAGGCUUCUCUGAAGGAGGCAUGAUCGACCAAGAAACUGUUAAUAAUGAGUGGGAAUCUAGGAGUUCUGAGUCUGUAAAGGAGAAUGUGUCCCAACCUGUAACUACUGAUAACACUCAACAAACUUCGGAGGGAGAGACAUUCACUCAACCUGUCACUAUACUGCCUGUUCAACAGAAGCAAAUGGAUGAUAUAAAGUUUAUUCCACAAAUGCCAGUGACUCCAACAGUUUCAGCAAUUAGUAUGGUACAGCCACCUGCGUUUCCUGUGUCAAUGCCCAUACCUCCACCAGGCUUCAACCCAGCUAUUCCACCACCUCCAUUCUUAAGGCAUACUUUCAAUCCUUCACAGCCUCCUCCAGGUUACUUACCACCUCCCCCUGUUCCACCUCCAGUUGUUGGACCUUCAAUUCCACCAGUACAGACCUCUCUAGUUUGUCCGCCUCUCUCAAACACUCAAGAGAGUGCAAAGGAUUCCUCGUUUGGAAGUCUCCUUUCACAAAUAGGCCACAGCAGUCUCCCAACUCCUAAUAUCCCACCAGGGAGUUUGUUUAAUCCAGUUGGUGCACAGCCUCUCUCGACUGGUCCAAGUAGAUCAAAGGAUCUGGCAGCAUCACGUACAGGCAACCAGACAUCAUCAGUUGCUACAACAUCCACGUCUGUACCAGGAGCUCAAAGUGCUGUAUCAAGUGGGUCUGUUCUGGGUAUGCAGCCUUCAACACCUGCACCAGGACCACCAACUUUUCCUCCACCAAGCAUGGCUGGAUCAAGGCUACCUGGAGUGCUCCCUUUGGACGUACGCCCUGGAUUGAUGCCGCCCUCACCAGGGCAACGGUUUCCAUUGCUGAUACCACCUCAGCCAAACAUGCCCCCUUCAGUAUCAAUUGAUGGUCCUCUUCAGUCAGGAACCAGAGCUCCUUUUCCACCAGGAAAUUCUUUCAAUAGGCUUGAAGGUACAUUCACAAGAUCCGGAGUCCCUAGUGUUGAGAGCAGCAGAAAUUCAAGCCAUGGUACAGGAGAAGAAAGACGUAAUGCUGGAAAUGAUAAUGCUUUUCAGCGAGACAACAUACAACAAGAAGGUGACCGAGAUUAUCGGUUCCCACCAGUUGAUAAUAGAGACAAUCUCGGCAGACGUGAUCAAUUUGGUUUUGGUCCUGACCAAAGAUGGGGCUCAAGAGAUUUUGAUGAACGUGAGCGCCGUGGUGUGCCCUUUGGUGGGCCUAAAAAUUUUCAUGAUGAUCACGAAAGGUUUGGCGGAAGAAAUUUCAGAUUUGAUGGCAGAAGUGGCCCAAUGUGGAGCCGAGGUUUUGAUCAAGAAACACACAGAGAUUUUGAUGACCGCAGCAGGCCUUGGGAACGUCAGAGAGAUCGUGAUGACCGUGAUUUUGGCUUUCGCCGAGAUGUAAAUGGCAGCCGUUAUGGGAGAGAUAGAGAGCAAGAUCAUUGGGUUCCUCCACGGCAUAGGUUUGACUAUUAUCAAGGGACCACUGAUAGUGAAAAAUCUGAUGAUAGGCCCCGUGUAAAUGGUGAUUUCUCAGAAACAGACAGCCAGCCGCCAAACAAGGAGCUUGCAAACAACAACGCAGAAGUAUCUGUGAGUCUUGCAUCUUCAUCAGAUGAAAGUGAGAAGGAUGAAUUAGAAAAUCAACCUGUAACAGAAAACACUGAUACUGAAGGGACAUAAUGCCACAUACUAUGACAAUUUGUAUAGGUGGUCAUCUCUGCAGUGGAUAAAAUGAUUGACUGGAUCUUGAGAAAAGUCACUGUUGUCUGCAAGACAGAAUUUAAUCCGAUGUACAUCUUUCACUCUAAUAACUGAAGUUAAUGUGUACAACUGACCUGUACAGACUGUUGUUCUUUAGUUGAACACGGUAAUUUGUUUACAUCUAAUAGUGUCACUAUCACUCCUGGGGCGAACGCGUCAUGGUUUCCAAUAUGGUAGAUGAAUGUGAAGACAAAGCAUGGAGGUAGCAGUGAGUCCAAGGGUCCUCUGGAAGAAAUGUGGCAGAAUACACACUGAAAAGAGCUAGUUUCAACCUGUGGAAAACUAGCAGAAGUCAUCUGUCUUUGCACAUGCAAGAGUAAAAGUACCAACCUAAUAAGAGCUAAAAUUUGUGGAUCCCAGUGACCUGGAGGCAACCAGAGACUGUUCACAAGAUUGGAGGAAGUGUAAUAACAUAUGCAUUUUGUAAAACACACAAUAAUUUUGUCAGACUCCAACACUAAGGCAAUAUAUUUGGGCCUAGUUAGCCAUGCAGAUUGACUGUAAGCAUAUGGAGAAUAUUCUGGUCAGUUCUCUGCUUCACUCAAUCACCAGAUGGUCAACUGAAUGGAUUCACAUGGCAACUCAAAAAUAUUGCCAUACAAUUGUGGAACCUCUCCAGAGAUAGAUCCCGUAAAUGUUUCCAACUCAGAAUCUGUACACAAGUAUUAAGCCUGUAUUGUACAGUAUGUCUUAAUUUAUAAAUUUUAUUUUUGUAGCAAUGCACACUGCCAUGUAAAUUAUGCUUGGAUUAAGUAAAAAUGAAAACAUAUUCUAUUUUUUACCUAAAGAACUGUAAAUGGAAUCAUUUGUUUUCAGAACUUCUAAACCAAAUUCCUUUCACAUAUAAGUCCUGUAAAAUUGAUCUUUAAUUGAUCUUAGAAUUCAUAAUGUAGGUACAGGAAACAGAAAAUGUAGCAAAUGUACAUCUGGUCAGGCAGCGUUUUCUAUAAAGAGGCAAAGGAUGAAAUGGAACUAUAGAUCGGGACAACUGUGUGUUAUAAUGAUGUUGUGCUGUUGAGCAGAGAGUUUGCGAGUAUUUAGCUCACAGAUUGCAAUGCAAUAUGUGGUGUUGCAAUUGAGCAUUGCUAAGUUGCAGAGCAGACUCAAUGGGCCAUAUGGUUUAAUUCUGCUCCUAUGUCUUAUAGUCUAAAUAGACCUUUUGGGAAGGAAAUAGGUAGUGUGGCCUAUUUGUAACACAGAUCAAAUUGGUUAGCAUGGGUGUUGAGGAGUUGACAGUAAAUCAGAGGAUUUAUAAAAAACUUUCGGAAAUUAAGAAGCUUUCGAAAAGCAUUUUGUUUGUAGUUUUAAUGGUGUGCACUUAUCAAACCAUAUUGACAGGCUAGAUAAAGCAGUCCUGAUGAAGGGUCCUGGCCCAAAACAUCGACUGUUUAUUUCUGUCCAUAGAUGCUGCCUGACUUGUUGAGUUUCUUCAGCAUUUUGUGUGUGUUCCUCAAGAUUUCCAGCACUGUGUUUAAAUAAAGCAGCUAGUCUUUUCUGAUGCAUUAUGUACACUUAAAAGCACUUCCUUUUGACUUGCUAUAAUUUGGAGGAUGGUAGGGGGUAGGGUGCUGGAGUGCAGCACCUCUGUAAAUUGUCAUCCUUUCUGGAAGCUCUGGAUGCAGAAUACUGCACAGAUGACUUUGUAACGCGUAAUGAUUAUUUGAAGACCACUUAACUUGAAUCAGUAACUCAUUAGGGAUGCCCCAUCUUCUGUCAAUCUCAAUGAGAUUUAUUCAUUGACAACUCCUCCUGCUCUAAUAUGGAGUUUAUAUUGUUUGAACAAUAUCUACCAGUCAUGAUCAAAGCUAUAGCCACCCUUGAGGCAAAGUUAUAUUUCUUUGAUGUUUCUGUUAUCUAUGUUGAUUAAGUUCUCAGAUAACUUAAAGAAAUGUUGCUUUGGUGUAACAUCGUUAAACAGCUGAUGGAAUACAGAACAGAACAAAUACUGUCACAAUGGAAGAGAAAGAAAGAGUGAUUUUAUUUAUAAUUAAAAUGGGUAGGUAAAAUGUGAUAGUAUUAAACUGGAGUGAGCGAUUUGUGAAGCUGAGGAAACAUCAUCACUGGGAAGAGUCCUAAUAAUGAUGAGCUUGGCUUACAUUUCUGAAUGUGUUUUGAGACAUUUGAAUUGGAAAUGGUUUAUUAUUGUCUCUAAAGACCAUAAUACAUAGGAACUAAAUUAGGCCAUUUGACCCAUCGAUUCUGCUCCACAUGUAUGAGGUACCCAAACAAUAUACUGUGAAAAGCUUGCCUUGAGCACAAUUCAUACAAAUCAUAUCAUUGUACAAUGCAUUAAAGUAGUACAAGGUAAAACAAUAAUAGAUUGCAAAAUAAGUUUAACAGCUACAGAGAAAGUGCAGUACAAGUAAACAAUUAGAUGCAAGAUCAUAACAAGACUGAUCAGGAGAUCCAGAGGCCAUCUUAUCAUCCUAGGUUUACAAGAAAAUGACUUCUCAAAGAUGCAGAGAAGUACAUAGAACUCUUUUCUUAAUCGAAUUUUCAUAAUUUAGACUAAUGUUAUAUUAUUCAGUGUAACUGCUAUAUAUUGUGUUAAUGAUGACUUUUGAAAUCAAGGAAAAUACAAAUAUAGUAAAUGUCCCUUUUAGCUUAUAGUGAAGUUUUGAGAAGUUCGCUGUGGGCUAUUAUCAUCUCUCUGACCUAGGAAUUAUUUCACAUAACACAACGUUUCUAAUGUACCAUCUAUAGGAACUGAAUCUGAAACUCAUUUGCCAAACAGGUUCCACUACCCUCUGUUUGGCUCAUACAGCCUGCUAAUUAGUUUUGUUUCUUGCAGAUGUAUGACUUAAGUAUGUACAGAGGUUGCUGAAAUAUACAGGGACAACAAAAGACAUGCAACAUAUGUAAGAGGGCGAGUCCCACAGAGACACUGUUGAGACCGGUUUCUGCAUUACUUAAAGGUUAUGAACCUAUUUUGAUCCAUGGCCAUUGAAUAUGGCAAGUUAAUCUUCUGUUAAGUCACCAUCUAGAUCUCUGAGUAAAAGAUAUUCUCAUCUCUGCUCUAGAUAUUCUGGAAAUGACUUGAGAAGGACACUUUUUUCUCCAGUUAUUGCAUAUAAAUGUCAGAUCAUCUGGAAAACUUCCGCUAGCCCUUGCCUUUCAUUGUUUCAGAGAAAACAAUCCCUUAACCAAGUUCUCCUCUUAAGCAAUCCUUCGAAACAUCCUGGUAAAUUGUAUCUGCACCCUUUCUUAAACCCUUUGCACCUUUCCAAAAAUACAGUGCCUUGAGUUAGCAACAUAAGUUCAGAUAAUUCCUAACUUGUGAUGGAUAAGAUAACCAAGAUCCCGUCGCUUUUAUGUUUUAUUAAAACGUGUAAUGCAUAUGGUUUUUUAUACACAUUGUUAUGGAUGAAUGAACAGAAAGACAUUGUUACUUUUAACAGACACCAAUGUCUGUUUGUUCUAAUAACAAUUUCAAAUUUGUGUCUUUUGCACUAAUCCAUGUUUCCAUAUUGGUCC